UAGUGCGUCUAGUUAGCAAUUAUACAGCGAAACUGCGAAUGGCUCAUUAUAUAAGUUAUCGUUUAUUUGAUAGUACCUUACUACUUGGAUAACCGUGGUAAUUCUAGAGCUAAUACAUGCUAAAAAUCCCGACUUACGAAGGGAUGUAUUUAUUAGAUUAAAAACCAAUGCCCUUCGGGGCUCACUGGUGAUUCAUAAUAACUUCUCGAAUCGCAUGGCCUUGCGCCGGCGAUGGUUCAUUCAAAUUUCUUCCCUAUCAACUUUCGAUGCUAGAGUAGUGUUCUAGCAUGGUUACAACGGGUAACGGAGGGUUAGGGCUCGACCCCGGAGAAGGAGCCUGAGAAACGGCUACUACAUCCAAGGAAGGCAGCAGGCGCGCAAAUUACCCAAUCCCGACACGGGGAGGUAGUGACGAUAAAUACUGAUACAGGGCUCUUUUGGGUCUUGUAAUUGGAAUGAGUACAAUUUAAAUCCCUUAACGAGGAACAAUUGGAGGGCAAGUCUGGUGCCAGCAGCCGCGGUAAUUCCAGCUCCAAUAGCGUAUAUUAAAGUUGUUGUGGUUAAAAAGCUCGUAGUAGAACCUUGGGCCUGGCUGGCCGGUCCGCCUCACCGCGUGCACUGGUCCGGCCGGGCCUUUCCCCCUGUGGAACCUCAUGCCCUUCACUGGGUGUGUGGGAAAACAGGACUUUUACUUUGAAAAAAUUAGAGUGCUCCAGGCAGGCCUAUGCUCGAAUACAUUAGCAUGGAAUAAUAGAAUAGGACGUGUGGUUCUAUUUUGUUGGUUUCUAGGACCGCCGUAAUGAUUAAUAGGGACAGUCGGGGGCAUCAGUAUUCAAUUGUCAGAGGUGAAAUUCUUGGAUUUAUUGAAGACUAACUACUGCGAAAGCAUUUGCCAAGGAUGUUUUCAUUUAUCAGGAACGAAAGUUAGGGGAUCGAAGACGAUCAGAUACCGUCGGAUUCUUACCGUAAAC
rnacentral:rRNA from 1 species